CGCUGCCCGAUGCAAGAGCAAGAGGCCAUGACAAACACCUGCCUGCUUCUUCAAGGAGGGAGAAAGAAUAAUAAGGCUUCCUUUGUAUUUCAGGAGGGGCACCUCUAUACACACUCUACUUGCAAACUCACGGAAUCCACAGGUUUACCUGUGAGCAUGAACUCCCACUGGCCUUCAUCCCACUAGGAUGUGACCCGGAGAUGGAGGUACCGCAAAACAGAGGCAGCCUGGAACCCUGGGCUUUCACCUGGAGGGCAACUGCCCUGGAGAACCCCUUGGACUCAUAGCAGACUGUG